rnacentral:siRNA from 1 species
UGAUCCAUCAUCUUCCUGGUUC